UUUCGAAUCAUUCACAAUGGGCGAAAGCCUGAUGGUGCGACGCCGCGUGAGGGAUGAAGGCCUUCGGGUCGUAAACCUCUGUCACCGGGGAGGAAACGCUUCAAGUUAAUAGCUUGAAGCCUGACUUAACCCGGAGAGGAAGCAGUGGCUAACUCUGUGCCAGCAGCCGCGGUAAUACAGAGACUGCAAGCGUUAUUCGGAUUCACUGGGCGUAAAGGGUGCGCAGGCGGCCAUGUGUGUUGGGUGUGAAAGCCCGGAGCUUAACUCCGGAAUUGCGCCCAAAACUACAUGGCUAGAGUAUUGGAGAGGGUAACGGAAUUCAUGGUGUAGCAGUGAAAUGCGUAGAUAUCAUGAGGAACACCAGAGGCGAAGGCGGUUACCUGGACAAUUACUGACGCUCAGGCACGAAAGCGUGGGGAGCAAAAG
rnacentral:rRNA from 1 species